AUCGCUUCUCGGCCUUUUGGCUAAGAUCAAGUGUAGUAUCUGUUCUUAUCAGUGCCAUAGAUGGGGCAUUGAUGUAGGAUGGAUGCUGCAUGGAGGUGGCAGGUGUACCGGGGCUGGUUCUGAGGAAUCAGCAUCAUGGCUGUCCCGUUGUGACCUGUUUCCCUCCGGGUCUCGCCAUGAGGCUGA